UUUUCGUUCGCUAGGAUUUCUCAAAACCCUUAGCGCCGCCAUGUGAUUCUCUCUCUUCUCUGUGAAAUUUUCACCAUUUUUGGCAAAAAUUCAGAGUGUACAAGGGGUUGACAGGGGUGUGUCGCUAUUUUGAGGAAAGGCAUUUAUUGCCUCUUCCUCUUUCAUCCAAUUUUCAAACAAACGAAGCAUAAAAGUAGACAGGGAGACGGUGUGGAUCCGUAGGAGUUUAUCAGUAGAUUCACAGGAGCACUCCAUUAUUGUGGAGGUGCUACUUAUGAUCAUAUUCUUUUGUGUGUGUGUGUGUGUAUAUAUAUAUAUAUAUAUAUAUAUAUAUAUAUAUAUAUAUAUAUAUAUAUAUAUAUAUUUUGGGCACGACGGGGUCCUAUCCCGUCCUUAUGUCUAGUACUCUAGUAGAGGCUCGUAGAUACGUACGUGUGGGUAGUUGAUGUCCCAUGAUGAUCACAUUGUACUUUUGUAUAUCAUUUUUGUAGCCGUGAGGGCUUAUGUAUAUAGACAUGGGUUGCUUUGGAGAUUAUAUUUGUUCACGUUGAGUAUGAUGAUUAUCCUAAUGAGUGGUGCUCAGUAGUCAGCUCCGGGUACCCGUCAUGGCCCCCUAGUCGAGUCGUCACAAAAGUGGUAGCAUAGCGGUUCCGUCCUAGGGUGUGUCUACGAGUUGUGUCCAGCAGAGUCUUGUUUAUGGAUGUGAAGCGCGCCACACUUAUAAACAAGAGGCUGCGAGGCAUUUAUGGAAAAAAAACCAUUCUUUUUAUUACUAGAUCAUGCGAUAGAGCCAUGUUAUAAGAUUUUCUCCUCCCUAAUUAUGCGUUAUGAUUUAAGUGAUGCCGGUAAAGAGGAAAGCCACAUCCGCCCAGAAGGGAAAGGCUACGACAGAAAGGCGGAUAGAAAGGGAGCUGCCAACUAAUGUAGAAGAAGGUGAAUCUCAUAAUGAGGCUCCAUCUAAUACCUCUCACACUCCGCCUAUUCUAGAAGAGCAAGAGGGGGCUUCAGUUCCUGCUCCUAUACCUCCAGUUCCUCCAUCGGGUGCUUCGAGUUAACAAAAGACCGAAGCUAUUAAGUUAUUGACGCAGUUAGUUUCCGCUUAGGCACAGCGGCAGAGUACGGGCUCAGGUGAUAGGGCGACUAGUGCUAGAGCCCGUGAUUUUAUGAGUUUGAAUCCCCCAAAAUUUUUCGGGUCAAAGCCGGAUGAGGGCCCGCAAGGCUUUAUUGAUGAGAUGCUGAGAACGCUGACAAUUAUCCAUGCCUCCGAUACUGAAUCUGUAGAGUUAGCAUCUUAUAGACUUCGAGAUGUGGCGGUUCUUUGGUACAAUAACUGGAUAUCUUCAAGAAAUAAAAAUGCACCUCCCCCAGUUUGGUAAGAAUUUGUAGAUGCUUUCCUUCGCCAAUAUUUGCCACCCGAGGCUCGAAGGGCUCGAGUCGACAAGUUUCUAAUUUUAAAGAAGGGGAAUAUGAGUGCCCGGGAGUAUAGCCUUCACUUUAAUUCAUUGGCUAGAUAUGCUCUGACUAUGGUGGUUGACAUGGGAGAUAGAGUACAUAUAUUUGUGAGUGGAUUAGGCCACAUUUAUUUAAAGAUUGUUUAACAGCUUCAUUGCAAGAGGGGAUGGAUAUUUCCCGUAUUCAGGCCCAUGCCUAGAACUUAGAAGAGCAGCAACAUCCGCAAAGGGGGGAGCGCGAUAUUGAUAGAGGGCAUGGUAAGAGGGCUAGAUAUGUUGGUACCGGCAGCGACUAUAGAGAGGGAUCAGGGCAGUCAUAUUCUAGAUAUUUAGGCCAGUCGGCGACUAGUGCACCUCCUCAGUUUGUGGGCAGAAGAUUUAACCGCCCCAUUCAUUCAGGACAGGGUCAGAGCUCGAGAGCUUCGGGUUCCCAGUUUGGAGGUGAUUAUAGUCAGAGGAGACCACCGGUCCCACGAUGUAGUCAGUGCAGAAAGUUACAUUCGGGCCCGUGUCAUCAAGGCUCCGAUGCUUGUUAUGUUUGUGGACAGACUGGGCAUGUGAUGCGUGAUUGUCCCUCGAGGUACGGUAGAGGUGGAGUUCAGCCCACAGGAUCAACAGCUAGUACUUCUUCAUCUGUGCGCCCGAUAGGGCAGACUCCCCAGAUUCCAGCAGGUCGAGGUAGAGGCAGAGGGGAAGCAUCCAGUUCAGGUGGUGCCCAGCCCCGUAUCUAUGCUCUAGCCGGACGACAGGAUCUUGAGUCCUCCCCGGAUGUGGUUACAGGUAUACUAUCUAUAUUCUCUCAUGAGGUUUAUGCAUUCAUAGAUCCGGGUUCCACAUUGUCUUAUAUUUCUGGCCGUAUUAGGGUGAAACCCGAGCCAAUUAAACCCUUUGAGGUAUGUACCCCGGUUGGUGAUCCCGUAAUAGGUAGACUAAAGUUGUAUAAUUCUGGUAUGUGAUCGUCAGGCUAAAGUUGAUUUAGUUGAGCUAGAAAUGUUAGAUUUUGAUGUGAUUAUGGGUAUGGAUUGGUUGGCCUCUUGUUAUGCCAAUGUCGAUUGCCGAAUGAAAGUAGUUCUAUUCCAAUUCCCGGGAGAACCUGUACUAGAAUGGAAAGGUAAUACAGCGUCUCCUAGAGGUAGGUUUAUUUCCUACCUUAAGGCAAGGAAGAUGAUAGCAAAAGGCUACAUUUAUCACCUGGUUCGAGUUCAUGACACCGAGGCAAGGCCACCGACCUUUCAAUCUGUCUCGGUAGUGAAUGGAUUUUCGGAUGUAUUUCCAGAUGAACUUCCAGGUCUUCCUCCGGAAAGAGAGAUUGAUUUUGCGAUUGAUGUGUUACCGGAUACUAAACCAAUCUCCAUUCCUCCUUACCGAAUGGCUCCUGCAGAAUUGAAGAAGCUAAAGGCACAACUAAAAGAUUUGCUAGAAGAGGGGUUUAUUAGGCCCAGUUCGUCACCGUGGCGAGCACCUGCCCUAUUUGAGCGAAAGAAAGAUGGUUCUGUACGAAUGUGUAUUGAUUAUAGGCAACUGAGUAAGGUGACGAUAAAGAAUAAAUAUCCGCUACCUAGAAUUGACGAUUUCAACCAAUUACAGUGUGCCAAGUGGUUUUCCAAAUUAGAUCUGAGGUCAGGGUAUCAUCAAGUGAGAGUUAGAGAAGAAGAUAUUCCUAAAACAGCUUUCAGAACAAGAUACGAUCAUUAUGAGUUUCGGGUGAUGUCGUUUGGGUUAACUAAUGCUCUGGCAGUGUUUAUGAAUUUGAUGAAUAAUGUAUUCAGGCCUCUCUUAGAUUCGUGAUAGUGUUUAUUGAUGAUAUUCUAGUAUACUCUCGGACAGAACCCGAGCAUGCAAACCAUUUGCGUAUUGUCCUUCGCAUUCUUCGAACUCGUGAAUUGUAUGCUAAGUUUUCGAAAUGUGAAUUCUGGUUGAAUUCUGUAAAUUUUCUAGGCCACAUUAUUUGAGUUGAUGGCAUUCGAUUUGAUACUCAGAAAAUUGAGGUUGUGAAGACUUGGCCAAGGCCUACAACACAUACAGAAGUCCGUAGUUUUCUGGGUUUGGCAGGUUACUAUAGAAGAUUUGUGGAAGGAUUUUCCUCUAUUUCAACACCAUUGACGAGGCUAACUCAGAAAUCGGCGAAGUUUCAGUGGACUGAUGCCUAUGAAUGUAGUUUCAAAGAAUUAAAAGACAGAUUAACUUCAGCCCCAGUCCUGAUACUCGCAGAAGGGACAGAUGGUUAUGUUGUGUAUUGUGAUUCCUCCGGUGUCGGAUUAGGCUAUGUAUUGAUGCAACAUGGUAAAGUCAUUGCCUAUGCUUCAAGGCAUUUGCGGAGACAUGAAAAGAAUUAUCCAACCCAUGAUCUUGAAUUGGCCGCAAUUAUUCAUGCACUACAGAUGUGGAGACACUCUUUGUAUGGUGUACAUGUUGAUAUUUAUACAGACCACAAGAGUCUCCAAUAUAUCUUCAAGCAGAAGGAGUUAAACCUACGGUAGAGACGGUGGUUAGAGCUACUGAAAGAUUAUGAUGUGAGUAUCUUAUACCACCCCGGAAAGGCGAAGGUAGUAGCUGAUGCACUUAGCCGUAAAUCAAUGGGAAGUCUAUGUGAGGUUCCUUCGAAGAAGAAAGAAUUAAUGCGUGAGCUCCACUAGCUAGCCAGCCUCGGAAUUUGCCUAGUUGAUUCGGGCAAUGCAAGAGUCAGUAUUCAUAACCCAACUGUUUCAUCCUUAGAUAUGGAGGUGAGAGAGCGCCAAUAUGCAGACCCUCAGUUGAGUUACUAUAGAGAUUCAUUUCCUGAGAAAGAGAAGUCAUCAUUUGAAAUUUCUGUAGAAGGAGUUCUUAGGUACCGAGACAGGCUAAGUGUUCCGAAUGUUGCGGGACUACAUCGUCGAAUUCUAGAAGAAUCUCAUUACUCCUGGUAUUCUAUUCAUCCAGGGGAGACAAAGAUGUAUCAAGACCUCAAGCUAAUGUAUUGGUGGGAUGGAAUGAAGAAGGACAUAGCAGAAUUUGUAGCUUAACGCCCAAAUUGCCAACAAGUGAAAAUUGAUCAUCAAAAGCCAGGAGGAUUGUUACAAGCCAUAGAAAUCCCAACUUAGAAAUGGGAAGUGAUUAACAUAGAUUUCAUUGUAGGGUUACCCCGCUCCCGAAGUAAGUAUGACUCCAUAUGGGUGAUCGUGGACAGACUCACAAAAUCAGCUCAUUUUCUUCCAGUCAGAACCACAUAUUCAGCAGAAGAUUAUGCAAGGUUGUAUUUUAAAGAGAUUGUGUGAAUUCAUGGUGUCCCGAUGUCUAUUGUUACAUAUAGGGGGGCACAAUUUAUAGCCAAAUUCUGAAAGUCUUUCCAAGAAGGUUUGGGUACUCAGGUAAGGCUCAGCACGCGUUUCAUCCACAAACUGAUGGGCAAGCCGAACGCACUAUUCAGACCUUGGAAGAUAUGUUACAGGCAUGUGUGCUAGAUUUCGGUAGUAUUUGGGAUGACCACCUACCUCUUAUUGAGUUUGCAUACAAUAAUAGCUAUCAUUCCAGUAUUCAGAUGGCCCCGUAUGAAGCUCUGUAUGGAAGGAAGUGUAGAUCUCGAAUCGGGUGGUUUGAAAUAGGAGAGGUACAGCUAAUAGGUCAUGAGUUGAUUCAACAAGCAGUAGGGAAGGUCAAGGUUAUCCGAGAUCGACUAGUGACAGCCUAAAGUCGCCAGAAAUCUUAUGUAGACAACCGUCGGCGAGACUUAGAAUUCCAAGUUGAUGAUUAGGUAUUCUUAAAGGUAUCACUGAUGAGAGGAGUGAUAAUAUUUGGCAAGAAGGGAAAAUUGAGUCAUCGAUACAUUGGACCUUAUAAGAUUGUCCACAGGAUAGGCCAAGUAGUAUAUGAACUAGAUCUACCUUCAGAACUUGACUCAUUCCAUCCAAUUUUUCACGUAUCAAUGCUCUGUAGGUAUGUCGGAGAUCCUACUAGGAUCGAGCAGGUAGACGAUGUUCAAGUUACGGAAAAGUUGACUUAUGAGGAGGUACCCAUUGCCAUACUAGAUAGGCAAGUACGGAGACUUAGGAACAAAGAAGUAGCUUCAGUCAAGGUUUUAUAGAGGAACAAUAACCGAGAGGAGAUGACUUGGGAUGCGGAAGAAAACAUGAAGUCCAAGUACCCCCACUUGUUUCAACCCGCGGAAGAGAUUCAAGAUAAAAUAUCAACAUUAUGAGGUUUAUGUGAUUUAGAAGUGAUCGGAAGAAACCAAGUGAAAAUAAAGUCAAAAAGAGGUCAAAUUGGACAAAACUGUCAAAAGUGGACAGUUUUGCAAAAACGGGACAGAUUUGCAAAAAACGGGCAGAACUGCCAAAACGAAAAUGUGGGGCAUAUUUUGUCAUUUUUUUGAAUUGGAAAAAUUGGGAAACAUAAAAGGAAGACUAGGGGGCAAAAUAUUUUCAUCUUUGGCACAACACACAAGUUCUUGGAGGCUAGGGUUCAUCAUCAACACCUUGGAAGAGAAGAUUUAGGAGGCACCCAAUGAGAAAUUCUUUAUCCAUUUCUUCUACUCUUGUUUUGUAUUGAAUAUUUAUGUGUGUAGUAUUUCAUUUCAAUACUUGAACCUUGUUUAUGGAAGUAUACAUUGUUUAAGUUGGAUUGAAUCUCUUGUUUUGCUUAUGUGUUGAAUGAUUUUAUUCCUAAUGAAGUGGGUUAUUAUUU